GAUGAACGCUAGCGGCAGGCCUAAUACAUGCAAGUCGGACGGGAUUCAGGAGCUUGCUUCUGAUGAGAGUGGCGCACGGGUGCGUAACACGUAUGUAACCCACCUUUAUCAGGGGGAUAGCCUCUCGAAAGAGAGAUUAAGCCCGCAUAAAAUCACAGCACAGCAUUGUGUAAUGAUCAAAUAUUUAUAGGAUAAAGAUGGGCAUGCGGAACAUUAGCUAGAUGGCGGGGUAACGGCCCACCAUGGCGACGAUGUUUAGGGGAUCUGAGAGGAUGGCCCCCCACACUGGUACUGAGACACGGACCAGACUCCUACGGGAGGCAGCAGUAAGGAAUAUUGGUCAAUGGGCGGAAGCCUGAACCAGCCAUGCCGCGUGCAGGAAGACGGCCCUACGGGUUGUAAACUGCUUUUAUACGGGAAUAAACCCAGAUACGUGUAUCUGGCUGAAUGUACUGUAAGAAUAAGGAUCGGCUAACUCCGUG
rnacentral:rRNA from 1 species